CAGUCAUAAUGCCUUUUGCCUGCUUGGGCGUAAGUAGUGACCCUAGCAGCCUUCUCACCAGAUGCGGGAGUUCUGCGUCUGGGAUCGCCUCUGGGACACCCCGUAUCUUGAGAUUCUUUCGGCGCCUGCCAUCUUCCAUCACUGCCAAGCGUUGUUCCAAGGUGGCUUGCUGUGCCCUGAGGGUCCCUAUUUCCCCCGAGAGAGUGGUGAUUGUCUGGGCUUGUUCGGCUGCUGUCGUCUCCACUGUCCCCAAGCGGCCCACCAUGCCCGUUAGAUCUGCCCUGAGUGAGGCCAUGUCGGCUUGCAAAGUGAGCUGGAGGCUGUGUAGUAGCUCCUUCAGAGUGGCAUUUGUCACCGGAGCCGAGUCAGCAUUCUUUGGAGCUGUCUGGGGCUGUGGUGUGAGGGGAACCCUAGCGGAUCCCAUCCCCAGUAUUGAGUCCUCUGAGGAGUCUGAGGCUGAGUACUCGUCCAUAUCGGCGGCCAUCUUGGGCCUACCCACUCCGUGGGCCUGCCGGAGCAGAUCCCCUAUGUUCAUGCCCGCUUUGGGCUUGUCGGGCUUUUGUUUUUUCAUCUUGCGGCCCAUGACCACUAGUAGCACCUGUGGUCCGGUUUGCCGGCGGUGGUAAGGGGUUUGAAAUCGCC